UGGGGGAUAUUGCACAAUGGGCGAAAGCCUGAUGCAGCGACGCCGCGUGGGGGAUGAAGGCCUUCGGGUUGUAAACUUCUUUUGCUCUGAACAAGGCAUGCUAAUGGGUGUGUUGAGUGUAGGGGUUGAUUAGCGCCGGCUAACUACGUGCCAGCAGCCGCGGUAAUACGUAGGGCGCGAGCGUUGUCCGGAAUUAUUGGGCGUAAAGGGCUUGUAGGUGGCUGGUUGCGUCUGUCGUGAAAGCUCAUGGCUUAACUGUGGGUUUGCGGUGGGUACGGGCUGGCUUGAGUGCAGUAGGGGAGGCUGGAAUUCCUGGUGUAGCGGUGGAAUGCGCAGAUAGCAGGAGGAAUACCGGUGGCGAAGGCGGGUCUCUGGGCUGUUACUGACACUGAGGAGCGAAAGCAUGGGGAGCGAGCAGG
rnacentral:rRNA from 1 species